GAUCGGGCUCCACCACAGACGCGCCGCGGCUCUCCAGCAAUCCACCGGGCAGCGGAGCAGCGGAGCCAGACAGUCAGCCGCCAGAUCUGAUAAAGGCGAGGACGCUUCAUAUCAACAGGUCGACGCAGAGUUUCUUAGCGAGAGGCAAAACGCUUCCUCGUCCACCUGCACACUAUUGUCAAAAGGAUCUUUUUCUGCCCCGAAAGUCACCUCAGAGGUAACAGACUAUAAAUGUAAACUGAACACGACUCUACUUUGGAUUCUGUUUAUGAAUUGUACAUUUUCAAUAAAUGCAUAUUUUUUAAAAAAAAUUCUGCUUACUGGUUUUGGUUUGGAUGUUGCCAAUUUGGUUUUUAAUUUGGGUUUAAAAUGUUAAUAAAUCUGCUAUUUACAAAUCAAAGGUUGUACUUUUGGUUUAGUUUCAGAAAAAAAAUUCAGAUUUAGCUUUGGAGUUUUUUUUCUGGAUAAGUAUAGUCUCACUGCCUUUUGUAGAACUGUCAAAAAGAACAGAUUAUCAGUUAUAAAGGCAAAACAAAUCAGUAUUUGGUAGAUGGCUUACUUUCGCCGUCAUCCACUUUUAGUUUAGGUUUUGGAAUUUAAAAAGCAAAAACCUGUUCAGGGACUUUGACACAGCCAAAUUUUACUAAACUUUUUUGUUUGUUUGUUUCAUCAAGACGCCAACAUAAAAGAAACCUCUCAUUUAAAUAUAUCCUAUUGAAAAUCAUGCAGGGUGCCAUGAAAAAAAAGGUGAUUACUAUGUGACUGGGUCAUAUGUGAACAUAGAAACUUCAGUGUCUGUUAUCUGUAAAACCCAGUGUUGCUUUUUUCUGCACAACUGCUGAAAUUACAGAUAAUUUGUCAAGUAGAAAUGUAAAAAAAAAAAAAAAAAAGCCCAUUGCUUGAGGGUUUAAUUAACGCUUCUGCUCUGCAUACUCCAUUUGCAAUUUCGUUAUCUUGAAAAAAAUAAUUCCUUCUGCAAUUUAGUUUUAAUUUCUAAGGUUGCAUAGCUUUCAGAGUUUCAUUCAGUUGAGUCUCAUUUCUUGUAAAGGUAAGAACGGUUACCAGCAUGUUUUCUUCUAUGCUUGGUACCUUGUGUUUUUGUUAUUUUUGUUGACGUUUGUUAAAAGAAAGUGCACA